UUAAAAAUCCCUCUCCAUGAAGAAGGCUGAUAUUUACCUACUUUUUCUCAGAUGCUAUAAUUUGACUCACUGAUGUCGUAUCUGAAGUUAUUCUGGAGUGUGGUCUGAGACGAGACAGCUGAUCUCCCUGGCCCGCUCCUCAAGCCACGGGGCCAGGUGUUCUGUGCAGGUGGGGCUGGGCCUGGCUCUGGGCUGUGAUUCUGUUCCUCACCUGUUGGCCCAUCUCCGCCGCAGAACCAUGUGGUUUCAAUGAUUGUAGCUUUUAGGCAUGUUAAGACCUAGAAAGGCAAGAUGCCUCUCUCGGCACAUUUUCUAGCUUCUCUCUCCUGUUCAGAGCUUCGUCUGUUACAAGGCUGUGGAUCUCGUUGAUGGGCGCCUGGGAGGGGAUGAGGGAAGUGGGGUGACCCAGGUCAUGUGGCAGAGUCCUCUCGUGGACUCCGCUCAUCUGACUUUACCCCUACUCAUGGGCAGUGCAAGUCACUCUUUUUUUUUUUUUUUAAACUAUUUUUAAAAAAAAUUAUUUUUUAAAAUUUUGACCGUGCCUGCAGCUUUGGGAUCUUUGUUCCCUGGCCAAGGAUUGGAACCCAAGUCCCCACCCCUGGACUGCCAGGGAAUUCCCACAAGUUACUUCUUUUACCAGAAGCCUGGCCUGGCCCCUGGUUCUGGAGCGGCACCAUACCCGACAAAUGCUCUGUUCCCAUCUUCCUGCCAGCCCCCCAGAGCCCUCCCUGGAGACAGACUAAGGCCAGGACCAGAGAACGCCUGCACUCAGGGCUGUUCACCAGAGCCCUGCCUCUCUUCCCUGUAUGUGGAUAUCCAGAAUGAGCUUGGAGGCUUGAGCAGGAGUCCAGGCCACACUUGCCAUUGUUCCAGCCUCUUGGGCUCACACUGCCUCCAGGAAGCCCUCCCAGAUACCCCAUCAGCUGGCAGCGCAGAGGCCCGGAGCAGAGGCACAGCAGUCAGAGGUCAGCUGUGAUGCCUCAGGCAGUCUCCUCACCCUCACUGAGCCUCCAUUUCUUCCUGUUCAGUGGAGACAGGCAUGGCAGCCACCUCGGUGCCCGUGAGGACCCGGUGAGGUGCUGCU
rnacentral:lncRNA from 1 species